rnacentral:rRNA from 1 species
UACGUGGGGGGCGAGCGUUGUCCGGAGUUACUGGGCGUAAAGGGCGCGCAGGCGGUCUGGCAAGUUUGGAGUGACAGUGUUCGGCUUAACUGAGCAAGGCCUUCGAAAACUGCUAGACUUGAGCACUCAAGAGGGACAUAGAAUUCCGGGUGGAGUGGUGAAAUGCGUAGAUAUCCGGAGGAAUACCAAAGGCGAAGGCAGUGUCCUGGGGAGUGUCUGACGCUCAGGCGCGAAAGCGUGGGGAGCGAACAGG